CAUCAACUCGUGGGCGGACCUCUGCCGCGGCGUCCCGAUCGCCGUCAUGCCCUACAUCAACCGCUCCCACCUCCGCGCGCGUGACCCGCCGGCCCCGGCCUACCCUCACAUCGAGUACCAGCCGGCUCCCGCCAUGCUCUCCGAGCCUCCGCAGGCGCCCCUCACGGCGAAGCCGGCGGCGCCGCCCACCGCCGUUGCCAUCUUCAGGCUGAGCCGCGCCGACCUCGGGCGCCUCCGCUCGCGGAUCCCCGCGCGCGAGGGCGCGCCGCGGUUCAGCACGUACGCGGUGCUGGCAGCGCACGUGUGGCGGUGCGCGUCCCUGGCGCGCGGCCUCCCCGCCGACCAGCCCACC
rnacentral:lncRNA from 1 species